rnacentral:rRNA from 1 species
UGGGGAAUAUUGGACAAUGGGCGCAAGCCUGAUCCAGCCAUGCCGCGUGAGUGAUGAAGGCCCUAGGGUUGUAAAGCUCUUUCACCGGUGAAGAUAAUGACGGUAACCGGAGAAGAAGCCCCGGCUAACUUCGUGCCAGCAGCCGCGGUAAUACGAAGGGGGCUAGCGUUGUUCGGAUUAACUGGGCGUAAAGCGCACGUAGGCGGACUUUUAAGUCAGGGGUGAAAUCCCGGGGCUCAACCCCGGAACUGCCUUUGAUACUGGAAGUCUUGAGUAUGGUAGAGGUGAGUGGAAUUCCGAGUGUAGAGGUGAAAUUCGUAGAUAUUCGGAGGAACACCAGUGGCGAAGGCGGCUCACUGGACCAUUACUGACGCUGAGGUGCGAAAGCGUGGGGAGCAAACAGG